rnacentral:rRNA from 1 species
GACGAACGCUGGCGGCGUGCUUAACACAUGCAAGUCGAACGGUAAGGCCCUUCGGGGUACACGAGUGGCGAACGGGUGAGUAACACGUGGGUGAUCUGCCCUGCACUUCGGGAUAAGCCUGGGAAACUGGGUCUAAUACCGGAUAGGACCACUGCCUGCAUGGGUGGUGGUGGAAAGCUUUUGCGGUGUGGGAUGGGCCCGCGGCCUAUCAGCUUGUUGGUGGGGUGAUGGCCUACCAAGGCGACGACGGGUAGCCGGCCUGAGAGGGUGACCGGCCACACUGGGACUGAGAUACGGCCGAGACUCCUACGGGGGGCAGCGGUGGGGAAUAUUGCAAAAGGGGCGCAAGCGUGAUGCGGCGACGCCGCGUGAGGGAUGACGGCCUUCGGGUUGUAAACCUCUUUCAGCACCGACGAAGCGCAAGUGACGGUAGGUGCAGAAGAAGGACCGGCCAACUACGUGCCAGCCGCCGCCGUAA